GAUGUUGGGUUAAGUCCCGCAACGAGCGCAAUCCCUAUUCUUAGUUGCCAGCAUGUAAUGAUGGGGACUCUAAGAAGACUGCCUGCGCAAGCAGAGAGGAAGGAGGGGACGAUGUCAAGUCAUCAUGGCCCUUACGGCCUGGGCUACACACGUGCUACAAUGGGCAGUACAGAGGGCAGCGAGGUCGCGAGGCCAAGCAAAUCCCUUAAAACUGUUCGUAGUCCGGAUUGGAGUCUGCAACUCGACUCCAUGAAGUCGGAAUCGCUAGUAAUCGCGUAACAGCAUGACGCGGUGAAUACGUUCCCGGGCCUUGUACACACCGCCCGUCAAGCCAUGGAAGCCGG
rnacentral:rRNA from 1 species